UGGGGAAUAUUGGACAAUGGGCGCAAGCCUGAUCCAGCCAUGCCGCGUGGGUGAAGAAGGCCCUAGGGUUGUAAAUCCCUUUCAGCGGGGAAGAUAAUGACGGUACCCGCAGAAGAAGCCCCGGCUAACUCCGUGCCAGCAGCCGCGGUAAUACGGAGGGUGCGAGCGUUAAUCGGAAUUACUGGGCGUAAAGCGCGCGUAGGCGGUUUGGUCAGUCGGAUGUGAAAGCCCAGGGCUUAACCUUGGAAUUGCAUUCGAUACUGCUUGACUAGAGUAUGGUAGAGGGAAGUGGAAUUUCCGGUGUAGCGGUGAAAUGCGUAGAUAUCGGAAGGAACACCAGUGGCGAAGGCGACUUCCUGGGCCAAUACUGACGCUGAGGUGCGAAAGCGUGGGGAGCAAACAGGAUUAGAUACCCGGGUAGUCC
rnacentral:rRNA from 1 species